UACUAGGUAGUACACUACAUACACAGAUAGCAAAUCGUUCAUGCAAAGUCGUGUAUAGUGCCAGUAGAAAAUUUCGAAAUAGUGUGGAUAGUGUGCGGCUUUGAAUAUUAAAAUUUCACUCCGAAAUCAAGAAAAGUGACUAGGUACUCGAGUAAUUUAACUGUUUGAUUGAGAAAAAAUAUAGCUGAAAAAAUCAUGCUUGAAGGACUGAAACGAAAUUUUGAAAAAUUUAAAUCAUAUACAGACAUAUUUGGAACGCUCGAAUAUAAGAUUUCCGUUAAACUUCCUGAACCGGAUCCAAAUUCGGAACAUCCCCAAUUAAGGAGCGAAUCUCCGGAACAAAUUUUUGAUGAAUUUCUACACCUAAUGGGAACGACCAAGAUUUCCCUUAAGGUUGAACCGGAUCCAAAAUGGUUGUGGUUCCGGACCAAAUCUCACAAGAUGAAGAUUCCCAAUAUGGUCAUAUGGGGAAUGUACAUGGCUGUGAAGACAUUGCCAUGAAUAUGAUGAUAAUUUCCCUGACGAGCAGUACAGCUGAAUAUUUUGACUUACUGAUUUUUCUUUACAAACCAUGUGAUCGCAAUUGGCUUCAACCCAAAGGACUGAUUGGUUGUGAAGAAAACACCAAUUCGAGUGAUCAGUCCAAUGAAGAGAAACCAACAUUUUCCCCCCAACAUAUUUCGUUCCUCUCCCUUCCUUUUUUCCAAUUUUUCAUAAUUUUCUUCCAUACGCACUUUUCCUUCCUAUCAACGGUAAUACAUACAUCACUCGACUCUAGGAUUAGUAGGUCUUUAAUUAUUAUUUUCUUUAUCGGAGUUUAUAUCUUUUAUUUGAUGCUGUAUUGUCUCUUUGUUGUUCUUGCUUCGUUAUUUUGUUUUAUUAUUAUUAUUUUAUUCUUUUCUUUCUAAUUAUGGACAGUAGUUCUUGUUAUGUACAUACAUUUUUUUUUAUUCUUCCCUCUUCAUUCUUUCUUCUUUCUUUUUCCAUAAUUAGCGUAAAUAGAACAUGUAAAGGAUUAAUCCGCUUAUUUUCCAGAGACGGAAGGAUAAAAACGUCAGCAAUAAAUCUGCUCAUUUAUGGGAAGAACCAAGAAGAAAAAUUACUAAGUAGGUAGCCAUAAUCUUCCUUGCGCCAAUCAAGUAAGUGAUCAGUAGUUCCCCACCUUUCUAGUGAGUGCCUUGCCUGAUGAAAAUUGCAAGUAUUUUGAACUAAAAAUCAAAAAAUCUCGAUUACGUAUACUUUCGAAUAAAAUUACAUCAUUCUAGAAUGUUGAAUUACAGGCAAGCUGAGUAAAACCUAGAUGGAAAGAACAUGAAAAAAUAUAUCAUUAGCCAAAAUUUCAGAUCCUACAGUAAAUUUUUUGAUCCUUGGUAAAUUUUUACAUAAAAUCAAAACUUCUGGAGAUUCCAAUUUUUCAAAAAAAAAGUGCAUAAAAUCUGUCCAAAUGAAUUUUUAGUUGGUACGUAGACGUACCAAUCGCAAGCAAACGUGCUAAAGUUCAUGUGGGUAGAUUCUAUGGCAUUUUUUUUGGUUGGAAAACUGAAAUUGAUUCAAUUUUCAACCAACGUGAUAAUUUCCUAAAUGAAAAAUCUAAAAAUAAAUAUGUAUUAACCCCAAGCGUUCUUAUAACAAAUAUCUUGAACCAAAAAUCACUUGAAAUUUUUUUCUCUUAUUUUAACCCUGCUGUUCAAAAAAUUGAAAUCCUUUUUUUUUUGUUUUCUCCUUCUCAAAAUAGAAAUUGAAAAAUUCUGAUCUAAAAAUACAAUCAUGAAAAUUUCUAGUUUAGGUGGAAAAUAAAGGAAACUUUUCUAUUUGAAAAAGUUCCUUCAUUUUGCAUAUUUAGGCAACCAGUUUAUCUUGCCAAACCCUUUAAAUGCGGAUUUACUGAGACUAGGAGGAAAAGACUACAUUUUAAGAUCAGUUCGAUUGCUUUUGAUAAUAAACAAACUAGGGAGGGGUGUGUCAUCACCCACACUACGAGGGAAUUCUGGAAAAAAUGAGAUCAUCAAGCAGUGUUGAAAAAAAAACAAAACAAAAACGUUUUUUUGUUUUUAUUUUAAACAAAUACAUAUUAAAAACAGCUCAUCGAUUCGUUGUUCAAAACACGUUUUAAACGGAAUUUUGAAUAAAAAUAAGCAAAAAAAAUCAAAAUUUGGACUAAAAAUGAAAAAAAAAUCAACAUUUUACCAAAUGAACCAGAAAGUUGCUGAAAUUCAGGAUAUUCCGUAUUUUUGACCAGCCAAACCGAUUGGCAACUGUUUCGAACCGUUUUUAUCAGUUCUGGAGCCUGAAGCAAAUUUUUGAAUCUUCAAAUUCUCACAAAAUUUUACCCAGUUGGAAAGUUGAAAUUUUACUCUGCAUCCUGAUUCCAACAUGCUGACUUAAAUGGAGGCGAUUUCAAGUCGUUGUGGAUUCUCCAGACACUUUCUGGAGAUUCCAAUUUUUCAAAAAAAAAAAAUCAUAAAAUCUGUACAAAUGAAUUUUUAGUAGGUGUACGUGCUAAAGUUCAUGUGGCCAGAUUCUUUGGCUUUUUUUGUUGGAAAACUUGAAUUGAUUUUUCGAUUUUUGACAAAUUUUUGAAAAUUGUCUAUUUUUGGCAAAUUACGUACAUUUUUAAUUUUUUUUUAGUAAUUAAACCUACAUAUUUGGUAAGAAUUAUGGAAAUUAGUCCAGAAUUUCAACCUCCUCAAACUGAAUUUCAUCAGUUCAGGCCAUUCUGAGGCGGUGAGGCCUCCUGCACGAUUUCAGAUUUCUCCAGACGGUGUGAAAAUCAUUUUGGGAAGCUAAAAAUUGAGUUGUGGCAGGUGUGGCUUAUCUUCGAUCUGAUAUUUAAACUUGGAAGGAUUUAUCCACAUUUAAGCAGAUUAAGCCAAAACUCGAUUUUUAGGUGUCCAAAUUAAUUUCCACGCCUUCUAGCAAAAAAUGUCAAUUUUUUUUUAUUUAAGUAUUCGCAAAUGAUUAACCAAGAAUCAUUCAAUUCGUUCGUGAAGGAUUCACCAAAAAUUGAGUAAAUUAAUCGAUUCGUUCGUGAACGAGUCACUUAUACAAAUCAAUUCGUUCGCGAAUAAUUCAUCAAAAAUUGGGUAAAUGAAUCGAUUCGUUCGCGAAUGAUUCACCAAGAAUUAUUAUUCAAUUCGUGAGUAAGUGAUUCACUAUAAAUUGAGCAAAUGAAUAGAUUCGUUCGUGAACGAGUCACUUAUACGAAUCAAUUCGUUCGCGAAUGAUUCACCAAAAUAUGAGUAAAUUUACGAAAUUUCCAUUUCAUCCAAGCUAAAACCCUUAUCAAUUUUCAACCAACUUGAUAAUUUCCUAAAUGAAAAAUCGAAUGAUAAAUAAUAAAUACUAACCCCGAAAAUUCGUGUUCUUGUAACAAAUAUCUUGAACCAAAAAUCACUUAAAAUAUUUUCUCUCUUAUUUCAACCCUACUGUUCAAAAAAAUGAAAAGCCAUUUUUAUUUUUUUAAAUUUUUUUUCUGUCCCUUUCUUCCCUUUUCAUUUUUUUUUUUUUUAUUAAAUAACUCAAAUUAGUAAAUUUUUUUCUCCUUCCCAAAAUAAAAAUUGAAAAAUUCUGAUCUAAUUAUCCAAUCAUAAAAAUUUCCGGUUCAGUUGGUAAAUGAGGGAAAACUUUCCUAUUUGAAAAAGUUCCUUCAUUUUGCACGUUUAUGCAUCUAAUUUAUUUUGCCAUGCCCUUUAAAUGCGGAUUUGCUUAGACUAGGAGAAAAAGACUGCAUUUCUAAGAUUAGAUUGAUUGCGUUUGAUAAUAAAAUAAUCAAACUUCAAACUAGGGAGUGGUGACACCGGAUGUCCAGGAAUAACGGAUUUUAAUGUUACCUAUCAAAAAGAAGAGAAAAUUUCCUGCUGGCAAAUUAGAAUAUUGAAUAAUCAUGUAAAAAAAUGGACGUUUGAGUAACUGUUUCAAUUAAACACGAAAGAAUCUUUCAUUUUUCAUCAAAACAAAAAUUCAAAAGCGCAUUUUUUCGAUUGUUAUUCCAUUUUUCAAUUAUUUUUACUCCGGGAAAUUUUGUUCCCGUUUCGGCUGAUAAACCCCUUAUUCUUGGACACUCUCAGUACAAUUGUAUCACCCACACUACGAGGCAAUUCUGGGAAAAAUGAGACCAAAAAAUUCUUAUAAAAAUGAUGAAACGAAACCUACUUGGCUAUUUCACUUUCAUUUCAUCACCCCAGAACAAAUACUACGUACAUACUAUACAUAGGUAGGUCUAGGUACCUAAAUAUAGCUCAUAUCGUUGAUGCAAAGUCGUGUACUUUUUAUCGUUUUGCUAUUUCGUCAACUCGUCGUUGUAGUGAAGAAUGAAAAUUGAAAACUCGCCAUUGGCAAAGAUGACUAGAAAAUUUUCGAAAUACCUAGUGUGGAUAUUGUGCUGUUUUGAAUUGAAAUAUUACGCCGAAGUCGAGAAAAGUGACUACUCGAGUAAUUAACUGUACGAUUGAGAAAAAAUAUAACCGAAAAAAUCAUGCCUAGAAGACAUUUACAAAGUGUUGGAAUAAUAAGAACAUUUCUGAACUUAAUGGGAACGACCUCGAUCGAGUAUUCCUAUGCACCGAAUUCAAAUUGGAGGCGGUGCCGGAGCAAAUCUCACAAGAUUGUGAUUCCCAACAUGGUCAUAUUCGGAACGAUCGCGGCUGUAAUGCUAUUGCGAUGACGAUCAUGAUUCCCCUGACGAGCAGUACAGCUGAUUACAAAUAGGAGAUCCAGAGAGCUUCGAAACGAACGUAAGACUGUACAAAAUUGGUUGCAAAAUUACAAAUGAGGAAUGGGAUUGAAUUGAUAUCUAGACCUCCUACUUAUACCUACCUGGACCUAUAGGUACAUACUACAUUUAUGUACAUUCAACAUGUUAUAAAUUCCAAUUAUUAAUCCGUCGUAUGCAAAAUAAUUUUUUUCUAGUUUUUUUUUUUUUUUACAAUUUUGUCUUUAAAAGACUUGUCAUUUUUUGAAAUUAAAAAUUGUUUGACAGA